CUUAGAGUUUGAUCCUGGCUCAGGACGACCCCUUGCGGCGUGCCUAACACAUGCAAGUCGAGCGAUGAAAGAGAAGUGGCGGUCUUCGGACCAAAGCAUUUCUGGAUUAGCGGCGGACGGGUGAGUAACACGUGAGCAACCUGCCUAUCACAUCGGGAUAGCCUCGGGAAACUGGGAUUAAUACCGAAUGAAACAUAUUGAUAACCUUAUCGAAAUGUCAAAGAUUUAUCGGUGAUAGAUGGGCUCGCGUCUGAUUAGCUAGUUGGUGAGAUAAAAGCCCACCAAGGCAAUGAUCAGUAGCCGGCCUGAGAGGGUGAUCGGCCACAUUGGGACUGAGACACGGCCCAAACUCCUACGGGAGGCAGCAGUGGGGAAUAUUGCACAAUGGAGGGAACUCUGAUGCAGCAACGCCGCGUGAGUGAAGAAAUAUUUCGAUAUGUAAAACUCUGUCCUAGAGGAAGAACAUGACGGUACUCUAAGAGGAAGCCCCGGCUAACUACGUGCCAGCAGCCGCGGUAAUACGUAGGGGGCAAGCGUUAUCCGGAAUUAUUGGGCGUAAAGCGUGCGCAGGCGGCCAAAAAGGUCAGAGGUGAAAGACAGGGGCUUAACCCCUGCGAGCCUUUGAAACCAUUUGGCUUGAGCAUAGGAGGGGAAAGUGGAAUUUCUAGUGUAGCGGUGAAAUGCGUAGAGAUUAGAAGGAACACCGGUGGCGAAGGCGACUUUCUGGACUAUGUCUGACGCUGAGGCACGAAAGCGUGGGUAGCGAACAGGAUUAGAUACCCUGGUAGUCCACGCCGUAAACGAUGAGUGCUAAGUGUUGGAGGGUUUCCGCCCUUCAGUGCUGGAGUUAACGCAUUAAGCACUCCGCCUGGGGAGUACGGCCGCAAGGCUGAAACUCAAAGGAAUUGACGGGGACCCGCACAAGCGGUGGAGCAUGUGGUUUAAUUCGACGCAACGCGAAGAACCUUACCAGCUCUUGACAUCUUCUGUUCACUCUAGAGAUAGAGCUUCCCCUUCGGGGGCAGAAUGACAGGUGGUGCAUGGUUGUCGUCAGCUCGUGUCGUGAGAUGUUGGGUUAAGUCCCAUAACGAGCGCAACCCUUAUUGUUAGUUGCCAGCAUUCAGUUGGGCACUCUAGCGAGACUGCCGGUGAUAAACCGGAGGAAGGUGGGGAUGACGUCAAAUCAUCAUGCCCCUUAUGAGCUGGGCUACACACGUGCUACAGUGGACGGUACAACGGGUAGCGAGGGCGCGAGCCUUAGCAAAUCCUAAUAAGCCGUUCUCAGUUCGGAUUGUUCUCUGCAACUCGAGAGCAUGAAGCCGGAAUCGCUAGUAAUCGCGGAUCAGAAUGCCGCGGUGAAUACGUUCCCGGGUCUUGUACACACCGCCCGUCA
rnacentral:rRNA from 1 species